CUUAGGGAGGAGCUUGCGUCACAUUAGUUAGUUGGUGGGGUAAAGGCCUACCAAGACUAUGAUGUGUAGCCGGGCUGAGAGGUUGAACGGCCACAUUGGGACUGAGACACGGCCCAAACUCCUACGGGAGGCAGCAGUAGGGAAUUUUCGGCAAUGGAGGAAACUCUGACCGAGCAACGCCGCGUGAACGAUGAAGUAUUUCGGUACGUAAAGUUCUUUUAUUAGGGAAGAAUAAAUGAUGGAAAAAUCAUUCUGACGGUACCUAAUGAAUAAGCCCCGGCUAACUAUGUGCCAGCAGCCGCGGUAAUACAUAGGGGGCAAGCGUUAUCCGGAAUUAUUGGGCGUAAAGGGUGCGUAGGCGGUUAAAUAAGUUUAUGGUCUAAGUGCAAUGCUCAACAUUGUGAUGCUAUAAAAACUGUUUAGCUAGAGUAAGAUAGAGGCAAGUGGAAUUCCAUGUGUAGUGGUAAAAUGCGUAAAUAUAUGGAGGAACACCAGUAGCGAAGGCGGCUUGCUGGGUCUUUACUGACGCUGAGGCACGAAAGCGUGGGGAGCAAACAGGAUUAGAUACCCUGGUAGUCCACGCCGUAAACGAUGAGUACUAAACGUUGGGUAAAACCAGUGUUGAAGUUAACACAUUAAGUACUCCGCCUGAGUAGUACGUACGCAAGUAUGAAACUUAAAGGAAUUGACGGGACUCCGCACAAGCGGUGGAUCAUGUUGUUUAAUUCGAAGGUACCCGAAAAACCUCACCAGGUCUUGACAUGCUUCUGCAAAACUGUAGAAACACAGUGGAGGUUAUCAGUUGCACAGGUGGUGCAUGGUUGUCGUCAGCUCGUGUCGUGAGAUGNUGGGUUAAGUCCCGCAACGAGCGCAACCCUUAUUGNUAGUUACCAGCACGUAAUGGUGGGGACUUUAGCA
rnacentral:rRNA from 1 species